CACAGGCUGUGGGUGGGGACCCUGGGCCACAUGGGGUGCACAGUCUCAGGCAGUGGGGUCCUGCCUCUGGCCACUCUGACUCCACUGCAGCAUCCUCGGGGGAAAAAGCUGCUUCUGGACAUUUUACUGCUCAAAGUUGGGCAGUCACAGAAUGACAGAAGGGUUUGGGUUGGAAGGGACCUUAAAGCUCAUCUCUGCCCUCCUGCCAUGGGCAGUGACACCUUCCACUAUCCCAGGUUUCUCCAAGCCCUGUCCAACCUGGCCUUGGACACUUCCAGGGAUGGGGCAGCCACAGCUUCUCUGGGCAAACUGCCAAUGGCCUCACCAUCCUCACAGGGAACAAUUUCUUCCCAACAUCCCAUCUAAUCUUGCCCUCUGUGGUGGAUCCUGUGCCACAUCAAAGGCCCCUAGAGCUGCAGGUGUUUGCAUUAACCUGCUGCAGCUGCUCAGGGAACAGACUCUAGAGUUCUGCUACGACUGCCUGGCAGAUUCUGUCAUGGGAGCUCACAUGGGGGAGCUCACAUGGAGGAGCAUAGGAUCCCAGGAGCUGUGCAGGGAGGGCCCUUAGGAUGGUCAGAGCCCCUGAGGACCAGGGGAGCAGUGGGAGACUCCCCAGCAGCAACAAGCUGCUGCCCACAGGGCUUGUGGCUCCCUGUGGGAUCCCAGGGCAGGUGGGACUGCUCUGGGCUGCGCAGGAAGGAGGGACUGGGGGGAAGAGCAAGUGUAGGAAACAGACAGCGAGGGACCAGUUGCAUGUAAAAGAAGAAAUAACAGCUCACCACAGAUGCUCUUCUUUUCCAGCAGUUUGCCAAGUCUGUGGCUCUUUCUGCUGCACAGGGAGAGCCCACCUUUCCAUCAGUGUUUUACAGCCCAGGGACUUCACUCCUGCAGGAGCAGCCACAGCAGACACAGACUGUCUCCAGAGACUCGUAUCUGCUCUGAGAAUCCUCAGCAGAGCCAUCCUGGGGGAACUGGGAGCCACAGGCCAAAGCCCUGCAGUGCUCCAAGACCCCAGGGAAAAAUGUCCUUCCCACCCUACCUUUCUCAUAUCCCCUUCCAGGAAAGAACCAAGGACCAGGAGCAUAGCUGUGUUUUCCAGUCUUUUAGUUUGAAAAAAGUAUUGAUUGAAAGUGUACAACCGAACACGGCGUGGCCUCAGCACCGCCACCAGAUUGUUUCACAAAUAAAAACAGAAAGGGCCUUAAAUAAUCGGGUGCAGAUUAAAAAAACCUCAACAGUGAAAAAGUUCUUCCCUCCGAACAGAAAUUCACAGGCACAGAAAUGGCAACAACCACAUGGAGACAAUGGGGGGACAUCCUCCUCCUCCUCCUCACCACGGGCUCUGCGCCGUGGCGCUCCCGCGCAGCUCCGUCCUCGCUCCCGCUUUGGAAUGGUUACGGAUGAACAGUGCGACAUGCCCUCGCUAACCAGACCCACCCCCACCCCCCGACCAGGACAUGGACAAACAAGGCCUCUACUAAGGCUAAAAAAAGGACAAGACUUGGAGUCUUGAGUUCAGCAUGGGUAAGAAACGAGAGUCUGGUGAGCACAGCCCAGUCCCUGGGCGGGCCCCGCUACUCCAGCUUGGCCUUCUUGGUGCUGUCCCCGCCGUUCUCCUCCACCGGUGCCACCACCUCCCCCAGUUUCCGCUUCCCACUCUCAGCAGGUGGGUGUGUGUUACGGGGUUUGAAGCUGAUGAUGAUGCAGGUCAUGUUAUCGCAGCCGGUGCCAUCUCCUGAGGUGUCUGGAGCCAAGCACUGAUCCAGCAGCUGGGGAGGGAAAGAGUGAGUCAGCAGAGAGCAGACACACACUGGGACCACUCCGAGGCACUGGGCCCAUUCCAACGCCUAACAGUGGCUGCCAGGCCAGGGCUAUGUGGGAUGAGUUAAAUGCUGUUCCCACCAGAGAAGGGACAGAAAUGGCCUCAGCAGCCCCAGGUUUCUGAAUGUGGGCAGCAACUCCUUGGGCUGGACAGCACCCCUGAGGUCAGACACAGGCCUGGGUGCCCAGGGAACUGGGUCUCAUUGCAGAGGUGUUUCUGCUCCUGCCCAUCGCAGCCCAUGAGCUGCAGACCCCCUGAGUGCUGAAUGAGCCCAUGUGAGGGAGCAGGAGGGCAGAGCCAGGUCCUGAGCUGGGACACAGAGAUGCUGUGCUGCUGCAGGGACAGCAGAACUCCGGAUUUUACCUCUUCUACGAUGGAGGAGAGCGGCCGCAGGACUCCGUUCUCAUCCUUUUGAGUGAUCUUGGACUGGAUGAAAUCCACCACUUCCUGGCUGCUCAUCACAUUCCUGCAGAGCAGAGAGGUCAGAAGAGCAGGCGAAGGGAGCACACAUGGCAGUGUCCCACAGGCCUUCCCCAGGCCCAGCUCCAGAGAAAGACCAGAGAAGCGAUACCCCAGAGGCACAACAGCUCCCUCACCACUCACCAGAUUCCAUCACAGGCAAUGACCAUGAAGUCGUGGUCAUCAUUUAUUGUCAGCACUUUGAUGUCAGGCAAGGCAGAGAUCAUCUGCUCUUCUGGAGGGAGGUUCUUGUUCCGCUUGUAGAAGUGAUCCCCUGUGGUGGGCAGGAGGAUGUCUGGGCAUGGGCAGUGCUGCCUGCCCUGCACAGGGAGCAGCACUGCCCCACAACAAGGUCCCAGUGGGAUCCAGCCAGUGCUCCCACAGCCUGGGAUCAAGCUGUGGGCCACGAGGCAGAGAACUACCGGAGGUUCCAAGUGUCAGCUCUGGCUAGUCCAGGGAAGAGGGGCCUUGGCCAGCUCAGCCUCUCCUCACCCCAAAUCAAGUGCUGCUUCCCCACCUCCUGGGGCAACACCAGCCCAACAGUACCUGUCACCUCUGGAGAGGCUGUGGCUGCCCCAGCCCUGGAAGUGUUCUGGGCCAGGCUGGAUGGCACUUGGAGCAACCUGGUCUAGUGCAAGGUGUCACUGCCCAUGGCAGCGGGGGUUGGAACAAGAUGAUCUUUAAGUUCCAUCCCAUUCAAACCAUUCCAGGGUUCAUUCUAUGAUUCAAAGCUCACUUGAGAAAACUGAUCCUCAGCUCCAGCUAGCAGUUUAUCAGGAAUCAGAGCCUACAAAGGGACUUCCAGGGCCACCACAAAAUAGCAGGUGGGAAUGUCAGUGUCUCCCUAGAUAAACAAACUCCUUGUCUCUAUCCUAAAGAUGUUUUUAUCUCUUUACCCUAGGAUAAUGAUUUCAAUGGUUUGGGUCCUUCUGCAGAAGUACAGAUGACCAAGUGGGUUCAAACUACCAGGAAGCAACACACCAAGGUCCCUCAACAGACAGAGAGCAGGAGAAGUCCUGUUUCCAAAGGCAGCAGUGUGGUUUUGGGACAGUUUACAUGAGCUGGUUUUUGAUAACCCAGCUACUGGCACAACAGCCUGGGAGGUGCUAGGUGCUGCUUUCCACUGGUGUCCAACUGCUUCAUGGCCAUUUUCUCCAAUUAGACUGAAAUCUCCCAUCAAAUAAAGAACAGGCUCUACUCA